rnacentral:rRNA from 1 species
GAUGAACGCUGGCGGCGUGCCUAAUACAUGCAAGUCGAGCGAACAGACGAGGAGCUUGCUCCUCUGACGUUAGCGGCGGACGGGUGAGUAACACGUGGAUAACCUACCUAUAAGACUGGGAUAACUUCGGGAAACCGGAGCUAAUACCGGAUAAUAUUUUGAACCGCAUGGUUCAAUAGUGAAAGACGGUUUUGCUGUCACUUAUAGAUGGAUCCGCGCCGCAUUAGCUAGUUGGUAAGGUAACGGCUUACCAAGGCAACGAUGCAUAGCCGACCUGAGAGGGUGGUCGGCCCACACGGAACUUGAGCACCGUCCAGGCUCCUUACGGGGGGCAGCAUAGGGGAACUUUCGGCAAUGGGGGAAAGCUUGCCGGACAAAGGCGGGGGGAGUAAGGAAGGCUUUCGAACGGUAAAACCCUGUUAUUAGGAAAGAACAAAGGGGAAAGAACCGAUGCCAGUUUGACGGGACCUAAACAAGAAGGCACGGCUUAAUUCCGU